rnacentral:rRNA from 1 species
GAAACAGGUGCUAAUACCGUAUAACAAUCAAAACCGCAUGGUUUUGAUUUGAAAGGCGCUUUCGGGUGUCGCUGAUGGAUGGACCCGCGGUGCAUUAGCUAGUUGGUGAGGUAACGGCUCACCAAGGCCACGAUGCAUAGCCGACCUGAGAGGGUGAUCGGCCACAUUGGGACUGAGACACGGCCCAAACUCCUACGGGAGGCAGCAGUAGGGAAUCUUCGGCAAUGGACGAAAGUCUGACCGAGCAACGCCGCGUGAGUGAAGAAGGUUUUCGGAUCGUAAAACUCUGUUGUUAGAGAAGAACAAGGAUGAGAGUAACUGUUCAUCCCUUGACGGUAUCUAACCAGAAAGCCACGGCUAACUACGUGCCAGCAGCCGCGGUAAUACGUAGGUGGCAAGCGUUGUCCGGAUUUAUUGGGCGUAAAGCGAGCGCAGGCGGUUUCUUAAGUCUGAUGUGAAAGCCCCCGGCUCAACCGGGGAGGGUCAUUGGAAACUGGGAGACUUGAGUGCAGAAGAGGAGAGUGGAAUUCCAUGUGUAGCGGUGAAAUGCGUAGAUAUAUGGAGGAACACCAGUGGCGAAGGCGGCUCUCUGGUCUGUAACUGACGCUGAGGCUCGAAAGCGUGGGGAGCAAACAGGAUUAGAUACCCUGGUAGUCCACGCCGUAAACGAUGAGUGCUAAGUGUUGGAGGGUUUCCGCCCUUCAGUGCUGCAGCUAACGCAUUAAGCACUCCGCCUGGGGAGUACGACCGCAAGGUUGAAACUCAAAGGAAUUGACGGGGGCCCGCACAAGCGGUGGAGCAUGUGGUUUAAUUCGAAGCAACGCGAAGAACCUUACCAGGUCUUGACAUCCUUUGACCACUCUAGAGAUAGAGCUUCCCCUUCGGGGGCAAAGUGACAGGUGGUGCAUGGUUGUCGUCAGCUCGUGUCGUGAGAUGUUGGGUUAAGUCCCGCAACGAGCGCAACCCUUAUUGUUAGUUGCCAUCAUUCAGUUGGGCACUCUAGCAAGACUGCCGGUGACAAACCGGAGGAAGGUGGGGAUGACGUCAAAUCAUCAUGCCCCUUAUGACCUGGGCUACACACGUGCU